rnacentral:rRNA from 1 species
UACAGAGGUCCCAAGCGUUGUUCGGAUUCACUGGGCGUAAAGGUGCGUAGGUGGCCGGUAAGUUUGAUGUGAAAGCUCGGAGCUUAACUCCGAAAUGGCAUUGAAUACUAUCCGGCUGGAGGUCGGAGGGAGACUGGAAUUCUCGGUGUAGCAGUGAAAUGCGUAGAUAUCGAGAGGAACACCAGUGGCGAAGGCGAGUCUCUGGACGACUCCUGACACUGAGGCACGAAAGCUAGGGAGCAAACAGG